rnacentral:rRNA from 1 species
AGGGUUCGAUUCUGGCUCAGGAUGAACGCUAGCGAUAGGCCUAACACAUGCAAGUCGAGGGGCAUCACAUGAAGUAGCAAUGCGGAUGGUGGCGACCGGCGCACGGGUGAGUAACACGUAUGCAACCUGCCUUCAACAAGGGGAUAACCCGUUAGAAAGACGGACUAAUACCCUAUAACACAGGGGCCCCGCAUGGGGAUAUUUGUUAAAGAUUAAUCGGUUGAAGAUGGGCAUGCGUUCCAUUAGCUAGUUGGUGGGGUAAUGGCCCACCAAGGCAACGAUGGAUAGGGGAACUGAGAGGUUUAUCCCCCACACUGGUGCUGAGACACGGACCAGACUCCUACGGGAGGCAGCAGUGAGGAAUAUUGGUCAAUGGACGCAAGUCUGAACCAGCCACGUCGCGUGAAGGAAGACGGCCCUACGGGUUGUAAACUUCUUUUGCAAGGGAAUAAAGUGAGUCACGUGUGACUUUUUGCAAGUACCUUGCGAAUAAGGAUCGGCUAACUCCGUGCCAGCCGCUGC